rnacentral:RNase_P_RNA from 2 species
CGCCCUAACCUGGCCCUCUCCGAGUGGGGAGGUGAGUUCCCAGAGAGCGGGCUCCACACAUGGGCAGACUGGGCAGGAGAGUGGGCGGAUGCCUCCCUGCCGGAGCUUGGAACAAACUCAC